UAACGUAUAACGUUACAUAGUAUUACGUUUUAACAUAUAACGUUAUAUAGUACUACUUUAUAACGUAUAACGCUAUAUAGUACAACGUUAUGUCGUAUAACGUUAUAUAGUAUUACGCUACAACGUGUAACGUUGUAUACUGUUAUGUUUUAACGUAUAACGCUAUGUAGUAUUCCGUUAUAUCGUAGGAAGUUAUCUAGUACGACGUUAUAACGUACAACGUGGUAUAGUAUUACGUAAUAGCGUAUAACGUUGCAUUGUAUUACGUUAUGACGUAUGACGUUCUAAGGUAUUACGUUAUAACGUAUAACGUUAUAAAUUAUUACGU